rnacentral:rRNA from 1 species
CCUUGCGAAAGUAAGACUAAUACCCAAUGACGUCUCUAGAAGACAUCUGAAGGAGAUUAAAGAUUUAUCGGUGAUGGAUGGGGAUGCGUCUGAUUAGCUUGUUGGCGGGGUAACGGCCCACCAAGGCGACGAUCAGUAGGGGUUCUGAGAGGAAGGUCCCCCACAUUGGAACUGAGACACGGUCCAAACUCCUACGGGAGGCAGCAGUGAGGAAUAUUGGUCAAUGGACGAGAGUCUGAACCAGCCAAGUAGCGUGCAGGAUGACGGCCCUAUGGGUUGUAAACUGCUUUUAUAAGGGAAUAAAGUGAGUCUCGUGAGACUUUUUGCAUGUACCUUAUGAAUAAGGACCGGCUAAUUCCGUGCCAGCAGCCGCGGUAAUACGGAAGGUCCGGGCGUUAUCCGGAUUUAUUGGGUUUAAAGGGAGCGUAGGCCGGAGAUUAAGCGUGUUGUGAAAUGUAGACGCUCAACGUCUGCACUGCAGCGCGAACUGGUUUCCUUGAGUACGCACAAAGUGGGCGGAAUUCGUGGUGUAGCGGUGAAAUGCUUAGAUAUCACGAAGAACUCCGAUUGCGAAGGCAGCUCACUGGAGCGCAACUGACGCUGAAGCUCGAAAGUGCGGGUAUCGAACAGGAUUAGAUACCCUGGUAGUCCGCACGGUAAACGAUGGAUGCCCGCUGUUGGUCUGAACAGGUCAGCGGCCAAGCGAAAGCAUUAAGCAUCCCACCUGGGGAGUAC